UGUUCUGAAUUUCAGGUACAUUCACAACAACAAUCGUGAUAGAUAAUAAUUUGGUAUUUUGUUGUGAUCGGAGAAUCUAUCUGCUCAACAUGUAUAUGUCUCUCUGUGUACGUAAGAAACAUUAAGUACCUAAAAGUAAAACUUAUCGCUUUCAUUGUUACAUAUAACUUGUCCAACUGUUCACCAUCAUGAUUUAUUUAAGACCACUUUAUUUGCGAAGGAAACACACAACUACUGUAUUGUACAAAGGGGCUAAACCUACUUCCUGGACAAGAAGCUUUUCAUUUCACAUUUCUGUUCAGGUUGGAAGAGUUUAUAUAAUACUGAGGAGUUUUAGAGGAAGAUCAAGAGUAGAACAUCACAAAGAUGUAUUGCACAUCAUUUACAGCUUGACAAAGGGACGAGGAUCAGGAGCUCUGGGUCAUACAAAGUGAUAUAUACACACUUUUCAACUUCAAAGAAGUAGGCAAGAAUGUGAACAGCAGAAAAAUGGUGGAAUAUCCUGAAGACAUUAAGUCAAUCUUCAAUUCCGGUUAAAAGAUGACAUCAACUAAGCCUUCUCAGUUCUCGGCCUCUCAAUGUCGGUCACAUUUGUUCAAUUUGACAGGAAUCGCUCAGGUGUCGACAAGAUAAAAGGACGACGACACACCUGGUUACGAAGUUCUAAAGAGCGGCAGCCGAAAAAAAAUGCCUUCUGAACAAAUGGUCGCAGCCGACAGCUGAAAUUAUGAUAUUAGGAUUGUUUAGGACUAUCAUUUGAAAACAAAAAAUGAGUUACAUAUUGGAUAUUAUGAAGGGCCCAUAAUAAGACUAUAACGUAUAGUAUUUAAAUUUUGUUGCAAUUUGAUAUUCGAAACUCUGUAUACUUCUUUAUAGAUAAAGAAAUUGUAUAUAUAUAUAUAACAUUCACUUUGAAAUUUCGUCACAAUACUAGCGUUUAUCG